rnacentral:rRNA from 1 species
AUCUCAAAUCAGGUAGGACUACCCGCUGAACUUAAGCAUAUCAAUAAGCGGAGGAAAAGAAACUAACAAGGAUUCCCCUAGUAACUGCGAGUGAAGCGGGAAGAGCUCAAAUUUAAAAUCUGGCGUGCCUCCGGUCGUCCGAGUUGUAUUCUGGAGAAGUUUCC